rnacentral:misc_RNA from 1 species
GAUGAAGAACGCAGCGAAACGCGAUAAGUAAUGUGAAUUGCAGAAUCCAGUGAAUCAUCGAAUCUUUGAACGCACAUUGCGCCCGCCAGCAUUCUGGCGGGCAUGCCUGUUCGAGCGUCAUUUCAACCCUCGACCUCCCCUUGGGGAGGUCGGCGUUGGGGAUCGGCAGCACACCGCCGGCCCUGAAAUGGAGUGGCGGCCCGUCCGCGGCGACCUCUGCGCAGUAAUACAGCUCGCACCGGGACCCCGACGCGGCCACGCCGUAAAACACCCAACUUCUGAACGUUGACCUCGAAUCAGGUAGGACUACCCGCUGAACUUAAGCAUAUCAAUAAGCGGAGGA